rfam:Pongo abelii chromosome 8.
GCAUGCAAGGGUGAUCUGGCUGUGACAUCUGUCACCUUAUUGACCACCAGGAUUAAUUCAGCUGAUCUGGCUGGCUAGGCAGGUGUCCUCUUCCUCCCUCUGCACUCCAUGUGCAUCUCUCCCGAAGCUGUGCGCUCAGUCGAAGUGGAUGACCAUCUCCGACAGAGGAGGACUGGCCUUCGGUCAACGGCACAGAGUAGCUGAGCUCCCCUCCUAGAACCUCCAGACAAGCUCUCAAGAUUCAACAUAUUCGUUCAUGCAGUAGAGUUUUUUUUUUUUUCCUCUGGGCCAGACCCUGAAGAUAGAG